GGCAGAAAUAGCACAAAAUGCAGGCAGUCGGUGACACCGGUACAGGAAAUGCUAAUGAGCAGUGGCCAGAGGUCCAGCAGCAACGUGACACUCCAUGUAAAACCCAAUCUGUGUGACCAAGCUGCUAUCGCUAACCAGUUGCAAUCGAUAU